rfam:Capsicum annuum cultivar Zunla-1 chromosome 8, whole genome shotgun sequence
CUUCAUGGUUCGGGCAUUCCAUGAGUUUGUCAUUGAAUCUUUGCCAUACCUCAUAUAAGGGCUUAUCACUAAGUUGACAAAAAUUUGUGAUUUCGUCUCUUAGUUG